rnacentral:rRNA from 1 species
GACGAACGCUGGCGGCGUGCUUAACACAUGCAAGUCGAGCGGUAAGGCCCUUUCGGGGGUACACGAGCGGCGAACGGGUGAGUAACACGUGGGUGACCUGCCCUCAGCUCUGGGAUAAGCCUGGGAAACUGGGUCUAAUACUGGAUAUGACUCCACGGUGCAUGUCGUGGGGUGGAAAGCCUUGUGCGGCUGAGGAUGGGCCCGCGGCCUAUCAGCUUGUUGGUGGGGGAUGGCCUACCAAGGCGACGACGGGUAGCCGGCCUGAGAGGGCGACCGGUCACACUGGGACUGAGACACGGCCCAGACUCCUACGGGAGGCAGCAGUGGGGAAUCUUGCGCAAUGGGCGAAAGCCUGACGCAGCGACGCCGCGUGAGGGAUGACGGCCUGG